AGAUGCACUUUGUCUCCAGCAAGUUCCCUGGGUGGUCUCAGGGCAGCCCAGAGGUGACCGAACUGUGACGCUUUCCCCAGUGGUGAGGCAGCCCUGCACCACCCCCCACCUCGAGGGUCAGAGCUGGAGGACACGUGGCUCACCUGAGAUGCCGGCCCGGAUGGAAAGCUGCAGGAGUUGUCCAUUGGAGGUAAAGAUGACCACAAAACUAAAUCCAUCACGGCUCCUCUUGCAAACACAGCGAGGGGCUGGGGCAGAGGAAGGAAGCAUCUUUGCAGCCUGCAGUGAGGGGAGGAGGGCAGCUUCAUCCCUUUCUUUCUUGUUACCCAGCAAUGACCCCAACACUGGUCCUCCUCUUCCCCUCUGUCUCUAUGUCUGUCUGGCUUCUCUCUGCCCCUCUCUGUGGGCGUCUGUCCCCACUUGCGUCCUCUCUCUCUCUGUCUCUCUGCCACCGAGUCUCUGAGGUGCUCAUCAUCAUCUCCUGUCUCUCCCUUCUCUCCACCUCCUCCCAAUCUCCUGGGGCCCCUUCCCCAGCCUCCUGUAGAGACCUGUGUACCCCUCUGGGAAGGCUUGGAGUUUCAGGGCCAGGAGCUGCACAGAUAACCAGCAGGAGGACACAGGGUGUGAGCAUCCAGGUGGCACGCUGCCUGUGUAGGCGGUGGACCUGGGCCUGACAGCUCAUCCAUCGCCGAAGGCUGCUCCCAGCGUCAGGCACCAGCCUUCCCUCCACCCACCUCCUUUUCGCCAUGAUCAACAUUUCAAAAGCAAACGCACAGGCCCACAGAAGGCUCCGUAAUUCACCCAAGGGUUGCGCCUGCCUGCCGCUGGGAGACAAGCCCCAUUCUUCUCUCUGAGUGAGCUAUUUUUAAGAACGCUUCCCCCUCCUCGCUUCCAGUUCCCCCUUUCAGUCCAAGCGCUGAAUUAGAUUCUUUCUUCAUUUUGUAGGCUCCCCCUCUCUGUUAUUAUAUAAAACCAUUUCAGCCCUUAAGGAGUUGGCAUCUGACAUCCGCAGCUUCUGAAUCCCCAGAACAGAGAAGGGAAGGCGUAAACAGAAGGGAGGGAAAGAAAUGUUCUGUUUCCGCUCCAGCAACAUGAAUCGUCAGAGAGUUAAAUAGCAA